rnacentral:rRNA from 1 species
AUUGAACGCUGGCGGCAUGCCUUACACAUGCAAGUCGAACGGCAGCACGGGAGCAAUCCUGGUGGCGAGUGGCGAACGGGUGAGUAAUAUAUCGGAACGUGCCCAGUCGUGGGGGAUAACGUAGCGAAAGCUACGCUAAUACCGCAUACGAUCUAUGGAUGAAAGCGGGGGGAUCGCAAGACCUCGCGCGAUUGGAGCGGCCGAUAUCAGAUUAGGUAGUUGGUGGGGUAAAAGCUUACCAAGCCUGCGAUCUGUAGCUGGUCUGAGAGGACGACCAGCCACACUGGAACUGAGACACGGUCCAGACUCCUACGGGAGGCAGCAGUGGGGAAUUUUGGACAAUGGGCGCAAGCCUGAUCCAGCAAUGCCGCGUGCAGGAUGAAGGCCUUCGGUUGUAACGUAGCUUUUGUACGGUAACGAAACGGACCCGUUUCUAACUACAGGGGUUAAGUAGACGGUACCGUAAGAA